rnacentral:rRNA from 1 species
CGGAGGUACUCGAGUGGCGAACGGGUGAGUAACACGUGGGUGAUCUGCCCUGCACUCUGGGAUAAGCCUGGGAAACUGGGUCUAAUACCGGAUAGGACCAUGCUUUAGUGUGUGUGGUGGAAAGUUUUUUCGGUGUAGGAUGAGCCCGCGGCCUAUCAGCUUGUUGGUGGGGUAAUGGCCUACCAAGGCGGCGACGGGUAGCCGGACUGGGAGGUUGGUCGGCCACAUUGGGACUGAGAUACGGCCCAG